GACAGAGGGUGCAAACGUUGCUCGGAAUCACUGGGCGUAAAGGGCGCGUAGGCGGGGAUGUAAGUCGGGCGUGAAAUCCCCAGGCUCAACCUGGGAACUGCACUCGAAACUGCGUCUCUUGAGUAUCGGAGAGGAAAGCGGAAUUCCUGGUGUAGAGGUGAAAUUCGUAGAUAUCAGGAGGAACACCAGUGGCGAAGGCGGCUUUCUGGACGGUAACUGACGCUGAGGCGCGAAAGCGUGGGGAGCAAACAGG
rnacentral:rRNA from 1 species